GAUGAACGCUGGCGGCGUGCCUAAUACAUGCCAGUCGAGCGAACGGACGAGAAGCUUGCUUCUCUGAUGUUAGCGGCGGACGGGUGAGUAACACGUGGAUAACCUACCUAUAAGACUGGGAUAACUUCGGGAAACCGGAGCUAAUACCGGAUAAUAUUUUGAACCGCAUGGUUCAAAAGUGAAAGACGGUCUUGCUGUCACUUAUAGAUGGAUCCGCGCUGCAUUAGCUAGUUGGUAAGGUAACGGCUUACCAAGGCAACGAUGCAUAGCCGACCUGAGAGGGUGAUCGGCCACACUGGAACUGAGACACGGUCCAGACUCCUACGGGAGGCAGCAGUAGGGAAUCUUCCGCAAUGGGCGAAAGCCUGACGGAGCAACGCCGCGUGAGUGAUGAAGGUCUUCGGAUCGUAAAACUCUGUUAUUAGGGAAGAACAUAUGUGUAAGUAACUGUGCACAUCUUGACGUUACCUAAUCAGAAAGCCACGGCUAACUACGUG
rnacentral:rRNA from 1 species